GGAAGUUUGUUAUUUUGUAAAAAUAGACUGAUAGUGUGAAUGACUUAUUUAGAAAUUUUCUAGGUAAUUUAGCAAUAAGUAAUUUAGACACUACAAAUCCUGUUUAUAUUGAAACUUCUGGUACAUAGAUAGAGCCAAGUAGGACAAAAACAUUUAUUUAUUUAUACCUGUAACACAUAAAUAGAAAAACAUUCACUAUCUUCAUAUAGCAGAAUGAAUGGCAAGGGUGUCCCAGUGUUUUAGUAGAGAGAAAGAAGACACUAUCCAGAGUUAUCACUAAUGAGUAGGAGUGAUACAGGAAUUUAAAAUUAAGCCCACAUCAUGCAGCAAUAUUUGGCGUCAUAAGCACAAUUCUGCUACUCUCUGAGAUGCUUCCAUGUCGUGCCUGGUCCAAAAUGUGCUCCUAAUGACGGAGCCACCUAAAGAGCAUCACGUUACCUACCGCCUCCUCUCCACCCAGUAACCACUGCUGUACUUCAAAGACGAGGAGGGCUAUGUAUUUUGCAUUCAUUGUGAAGUCAUUCACUCAAAUCUCCAUCUGCUGAAAUGAUGGCAACUUCCUCAGUCAGGGCAGAACCCCAGUUUGACAACAAGGCGUGUGUAUCCAUAGAUCUCUCUCUCUGUGCUACCGAAUGAGGGUUCUACACUGAGGCCGUCAAUUUGUUGUCCAAACAUUCCCAGAGGUAGGUGAAGAAAUGAAUAGUGUUUUACUCUGCCUGAAAUCAUAUUUGUAAAAACUUUUGAAAUGUAAAGAAAUGGAGAAAGUCGGUCUCUCAGUAGCAGGUGAGUGACUUCUUACAGUGAGAGGAACGCCUUAGUUGGGGGAGAUCUUGAAAAAACUGCUGAGAUGCACGCUCUGUCAACACAUUUUUGGAGAAGGACUCAGAUAAUCCUGCAUAAAAGGGGAAUUUCUUAAUUCCUUUCUUUUCUUUCUUUCCUUUCUUUCUUAUUUAUUCAUUUAACUCAUCUUAUUUGUUUUUGUCUUUUUUUUUUUUUUUUAAGAGACAGUUUCGCUCUGUUGCCCAGGCUGGAGGGCAGUGGCAUAAUCAUAACUAUCUUUUUUUCUUUUCUUUUCUUUUCUUCUAUCUUCCUUCCUUCCUUCCUUCCUUCUUUCCUUCCUUUCCUUCCUUCCUUCCUUCUUUCCUUCCUUCCUUUCCUUCUUUCUCUUUCUUUCCUUUCUUUCUUUCUCUCUCUCCCCCUACCCCAGCUUUCUUUCUUUUCUUUACCUUUCAUUCUUUCUUUUCUUUCUUUCUUUUGGAAAGAAGUGGAAGGAGAUAGAGAAAGGGAGUUAAAGAUGGAAGAUGGAGAGGGAAAAGUCAAAAACAUAAAUGAUGUGAAUCCCACUAAUCCUCAGGGAAGCAUAAAACCCAUAAAUGCUCGGGAUAAGAUAGUUUUUAGCAGAGGUGCGGAAACCAGUGACGAGGCUGUCACCUUCUGGGGACAUGGAAAAAACAUAAAUAGUAUGUUCAGUCUCAAGAUGUGGCAACAGAGAUGUUCCUAAGAAAGUAGCUUCUCAAGAAUUUGCAAAAGCUGUUGGGGUGACUUGGGGCUGUCACAAACGUGGACCUGGCCUCUCACUCCAUAUAAUUUAAAUCUCUGAAGUCCGGGGAGUUCCCACCUGGCAUCAGAGCCAAUGUGUGCUGUUGAAGGGGAGGCCAGGUCUGAAUUUCAGGAAGCAGUGCCUUCUCAGGAAAGUUAACUAACAUGGUCAUAAUAGGACAUUGUUUAAAUUAAAGGCUAGGCUUAAUGCUCAUUAAAGUGUUAGUUUAAAAUUCUAGGCUUAAAACGAUGCAACUUCUGAAUUUAUUGAAGGGCAGAGCUAGUGAUUCCUGAAUGGUUUGGCUUGUAUUUUUCUUGUCUCCUAAGUUUUCUACACAUAUAUGAUAUGAUUUAAGUUCUCUGUGCAAACAUCCUUUUUCAUGAAAUCCACUUUUAUAACUGCCUAUCUGUAAAACUACUACAAAGAAAAUUGGCUUUCCACCAUAUUCAUUCCUUAAUGGUCUUAAAACAAUUAUGUACUGCUAUUAAAAUGCAUGUCAACAUGAAGGAUUUUACACUUUGGUACAUAGUUCCUAUUAAAAGCUAUCACGAUAAGCAAAGAAUUCAUUACUUUGUGAUAUUGAACUUGACAUUUCUCUUAGCAACAUUAAAAAGAUGCAGUUCAUUGAAGGAAAUGCCUAGGUUUCAAAUCAACAGGAGGCUAUAAGAAAGCUUUACAUUAAACUCCAUCUCAAUAUAGAGCAUCAGAACUUUCAUUGCCUCAUUCCAUUUACGGUCUGGUACAAAUCAGAUUCAGAAAGGCAUAGACUAUUUCAGGACAUUAAAUGGUAGCAAGUCCACCGCUCAUUGUGUUUUAACAGGUUAUCAAUUGCAUCAGAAUAAGCAGUGCAAAGUCCCCAGUAAUCCCAGUGUUGAUGAAUCAGUCUAAAAUAAUGGCUUAUUUCUAUGCUUCUUUUAUUUGCACUAAGGGAAGACCAUGUUCUCAAGGAGGGCACCCCAUGCUCCCUGGCAGAUGUUUUGCAACAAGGAUGGCUAGCAAAGUGGUCCCUGGACAGAGGCCUGCACAAGAAGAUGUCUUCCAAUCAACUGUGGAGAAGCCGCAGAGUGUGAAUCUGUUUUAUCUAAAAUAAAACCCAGCCUUCAGGGCCUUCCUCAAUGUGAGGUGUCCCUGGGUGCCCUAUGUUUGUUCUGAAUUAAUCAGGCCUUCCAGGCUCCUCCAGGCUACUAUUCCCACAUCAGUGGAAUCAGUCCUGGCUUCUCACCAUGAUCUUAGUCUUCACUAUGCCACACAUACUUAACUGUUUGUUUUUAUAAUUACACUCUGCCUUGAUCCGAGGAGGAACGGUAAAUAAAAGAUGUUUUAAUUAAGAUAAUUGUAAAAAUAAAUAAAACAAUUAACAAUAAGUCAAACAAAGCAGAGGAAAGAAAACACCAUGUAAGCAAAGCAGGGCCUCUUAGGCAUCCCAGAAUGACUAAAUUAGCAGCAAACUGUAGGCACUCACUUUUUCAACUGUAUUUACAUGCUGUUUUGCAUUUUUUUCUGCACCGAUGAACAGCAUAUUUUAGUAGACUCCCCAUUAGAAUUUAUCUGAUUCUUUCUCCAAACAAUGUUGUUAUUUCUUAUGCAAACUAUAUCUGUUUAAAAAAUUAUUUGCCUUCUUCUAUUAGAAACUAUCAACUCAAAAUGUCUUAUAACCUUGACAAUGGUAAAUUGCUCUUUUCUUCUCUAACUGGAAACAGAUAUGUCAUUUUAGAGAUUAUGGUUUUAUUCAUUUAACUCAUCUCAUUUGUUAUUGACUUUUCUUUUUUUUAAGAGACAGGGUCUUACUCUGUCAUCCAGUCAGGAAUACAGUGAAAAAAUCAUAACUCAUUGCUGAUUCAAACUCCUGGGCUCAAGAGAUCUUCCUGCUUCAGCCUCCCAAGUAGUUGGGACUGCAGGCACACACCACCAUACCUGGCUCAUUUUAAAAUUUUUUGUGGAGACAGGGUCUUGCUAUGUUGCCCAGGCUGGUUUCAAACUCCUGGCCUUAAGGGAUCCUCCCACCUCAGCCUGCCAAGGUGUGGGGAUUACUGGCAUGAGUCACCGUGCCCAGCCCCACAUUUGGAACUGUUCAACAUGCUUUUCCUCACUGAAACUCUUUUCCUUGGCCUACAUCAUUAUUUUCCUUGCCCUUUUCUCCUACUUUCUGACCGCUCCAGUUGGACUGAAGGAAAUAUGUGUGUGAAACAGUCUUGAAGACAAAGCAACCAGCCAGAGGGUGUGGCAUGCAACAGACCUGCAAUAACUGUUUUAGAAGCCGGGCACAGUGGCUCAUGCCUGUAAUCCCAGCACUUUGGGAGGUGAGGCAGGCAGAUCAUUUGACGUCAGGAGUUCAAGACCAGCCUGGCCGACAUGGUGAAACCCCGUCUCUACUACAAAUACAAAAAUUAGCUGGGUGUGGUGGCAGGCACCUGUAAUCCCAGCUACUCGGGAGGCUGAAGCAUGACAAUUGCUUGAACCCAGGAGGCAGAGGUUGCAGUGAGCCAAGGUCACAUCACUGCACUCUAGCCUGGACAAUAGAGCAAGACUCAGUCUCAAAAUAAUAAUAGUAAUAAUAAUAAUCACUGUUUUAGAAAGAAAGAAUGAAUGAAUGAACGCAUUGAGGCACUCACCUAUUUCAGAAGCUAGAAGGCACUUAUAUAAAUUCAGCUUAUAAAGGAUCCAAGGGAGUUGAAUCUGGAUUUGUGAGAAUUGGACAGAUUUAUUUGGCCUCAUCUUUUAUUUACUAUUUUGUGAGAUGUGCUAGUUAUUGAGUUAUUACUCCUGGGCUCUGAACCCUUCCUUCUGCACUUUGCUUUUUGAUGCUUUGAUUGGGAAUUCUCCAACCCCAUUUCUCCUUUGCCAUUGGUUCCCAACAGGUGGCACAAAGACGGACUGAAAGGCUAGAGUAGGAAGAAGGGGCAUUGCUUCUUCCAGUUUGCUCACUGUUCUUCCAGAAUUACUGUAGCCACGGUGGUUUGUGCCAGAAGCACAGUUGGCCCAUGUUCAGGUUUUUUUUCCCACAUUCUCAGAAGCAGCCUCAGAGACACCAGGCAUGGCCCAUCAGCACCCUCCUCAGAGACCUGAGUUCAGCAUUGUGGGAGCCCCUCCAAGCUCCUGAGACACCAGCACCAUCUGGCAAACACUCCGUUUCAGAUGUCUGGGUCUUACCUCUCAGGAAACAGAGCGACCUCAGGGCAAGGGACCACGAGAAAUGAAGACAUUCCCUAGGUAUCUGAGAGCUGGCAAUCAAAAGCUGAUGGAGGAUGCUUCAGUAUUUCAACUAUAUGCAAGAACUGAUCAAGACGCCAUAAAGUGCAACUUGGAGCAACUGCAGACCAUGAAAUCGAAUAUUUUCUACAAAUAACAAUAAAGAAAUGAAAUAUAGCAUGCGGAAGGGUGUAGGAACAUAAAACUGCAUGGACAAAGAAGAGAAUCCGUGGAUCACGCAGAAACAAUAUAAGAGACAAAAGUGGAACUUCUGCAGUCCCAGCUACUCAGAAGGCUGACGCAGGAGGAUCGCUUGAGCCCAGGAGUUUGAGCCUGCAGCGAGCUAUGUUCAUACCACUGCACCCCAGCCUGAGUGACAGAGUAAAACCCUGUCUCUAAAAAAGAAAAAAAAAAGUAGAACCCAUAGGAAGCAGGUCAAAGGAAUAAAGGAAUUCCCAUGUUAUUAUUUGUUGUUGUUGUUAAAAACAUAUUGAGUGAAUGAAAGCAGACACACAUAACCAUAUACUGAUUGAUUCUAUUUAUAUGAAGUUCAUAAAUCAACAAAGCAAAUCUAUAGUUAUAGAACUGAGAAAGGGUUUAGGUAUGGGAAGUGGGAGGAAGUGGCAGGAAAAGGGCAUAAGACAACUUAUAUGGUGAUAAAUACUCUCCCG
rnacentral:lncRNA from 10 species